rnacentral:rRNA from 1 species
CAAUAGCGUAUACUAAUGUUGUUGCAGUUAAAAAGCUCGUAGUUGAACUUCUGGUAGGAGUGUCCCGGCCUUUUUGUUUUUACAAAUUGUAUGCUGUGUGACAUCUCUGGCCAUCCUUCUUCUUUGUUUAAAGAAGAUCUUUCACUGUAAAAAAAUUAGGGUGUUCAAAGCAAAAGUUUCUUUGGAAUAUAUUAGUAUGGGAUGAUAAGAUAGGCUCUAGAUGCUAUUUUGUUGGUUUGCACAUUUAGAGAAUGAUUAACAGGGACAGUUGGGGGUAUUCGUAUUUACAUGUCAGAGGUGAAAUUCUUGGAUUUUGGAAAGACGAGCUACUGCGAAAGCGUUUACCAAGGAUGUUUUCAUUAA